GAUGAACGCUGGCGGCGUGCUUAACACAUGCAAGUCGAGCGAAGCACUUUUGCAGAUUUUUUCGGAUUGAAGCAAUUGUGACUGAGCGGCGGACGGGUGAGUAACGCGUGGGUAACCUGCCUCAUACAGGGGGAUAACAGUUGGAAACGGCUGCUAAUACCGCAUAAGCGCACAGUACCGCAUGGUACCGUGUGAAAAACUCCGGUGGUAUGAGAUGGACCCGCGUCUGAUUAGCUAGUUGGUGGGGUAACGGCCUACCAAGGCGACGAUCAGUAGCCGACCUGAGAGGGUGACCGGCCACAUUGGGACUGAGACACGGCCCAAACUCCUACGGGAGGCAGCAGUGGGGAAUAUUGCACAAUGGGGGAAACCCUGAUGCAGCGACGCCGCGUGAGCGAUGAAGUAUUUCGGUAUGUAAAGCUCUAUCAGCAGGGAAGAAAAUGACGG
rnacentral:rRNA from 1 species